rnacentral:rRNA from 1 species
GAUGAACGCUGGCGGCGUGCCUAAUACAUGCAAGUCGAGCGAAUGGAUUAAGAGCUUGCUCUUAUGAAGUUAGCGGCGGACGGGUGAGUAACACGUGGGUAACCUGCCCAUAAGACUGGGAUAACUCCGGGAAACCGGGGCUAAUACCGGAUAACAUUUUGAACCGCAUGGUUCGAAAUUGAAAGGCGGCUUCGGCUGUCACUUAUGGAUGGACCCGCGUCGCAUUAGCUAGUUGGUGAGGUAACGGCUCACCAAGGCAACGAUGCGUAGCCGACCUGGGGGGGUGAUCGGCCACACUGGGACUGAGACACGGCCCAGACUCCUACGGGGGGCAGCAGUAGGGAAUCUUCCGCAAUGGACGAAAGUCUGACGGAGCAACGCCGCGUGAGUGAUGAAGGCUUUCGGGUCGUAAAACUCUGUUGUUAGGGAAGAACAAGUGCUAGUUGAAUAAGCUGGCACCUUGACGGUACCUAACCAGAAAGCCACGGCUAACUACGUGCCAGCAGCCGCGGUAA